GGAUGCCAGACCACCAGACCAAGGUUUAUAGCUGGGUGUGAUGUUAGCUGGUGAAGCCUGGUGGAAGAGGUGGCUCAUUGUGUGAGUGGCCUGGAAUGGAAUACAUCCCUCCUCUUCCCUUGAUGGCUGCUGCUUCCCACCUGCCAUGCCCCUCUGCCAUGCUGCCCUACCCUGGAGCCAACUGACUAUGAACUGAAACUUUUACAAACUUUCUUUUCCUGUUCAGGGAUGGAGUUGCCCCUGAAGCCUGAACUGAGCCUCCAGCAAUCUUAACCAAGCAGAUCAGGCCGCUGGCAGGUUAGAAGGAAAUAACUGGAAUUCAGGUACUGAUGGACUUUCCUUAAUGUGCUGCCCAAAUAUUGUGGUAAAUACUGCAUGAGAUGCUGGGGAUCAAAGCCAAGACCUCAUACAUGCUUGGGCUCAGGAUGCAUGUGAUGACACUUCACGUUACGAAAUAGAAAACCAAGUGACUCUGUUUCAUGAUCCAUAAACCCCCUAACAAAAUCCCUCAGACACCAGGGAAAAAGCCGCCUUUGUGGUUCUAUUUUUAAUCUCUCUAUUUUUUAAUUCUCCUCAUUUCACCUUUAAAACUUCUCCUUGCUUCAAAUUUUUGAAUAUGCUCAAUUUACAAUGGCACUUGUAUUGCUAUUGCAAUGCCCUGCUAUUCCUAAAUAAAUAUAAUUAAUCCUUAGAGAAUCUUUCUGUCUGAUUGCUAUUUUGUUUAACAGCAGU
ensembl:lncRNA